rnacentral:lncRNA from 1 species
ACCAAUCUGUCCCAGUGUCACAGAUGCGGUUGAGCACAUCUGCCAGAUUGCCACAAGUUUGCUGCAGAUUUAGGCUGUGGCGAAGUUUGAAUUUGGGGUGUUCAAGACAAUAACACACAAGAACAACUCCACUCCCUCUCUCUGCUCUACCAACAACACCAAACUGUCUGGCUCAUCGCUCCAGUGAUUUUCUGCAGCCACUGUUGCACUCUCUCCAGUGUUUUUGAAAGUAUCUGGGAAUUGCCACACCAUAAUCCUAAUCAAGUCUUAUGCUCCAGUGAAAAUGCACAGUUACAUCUACAGCUCAGUUCCAGACUCUCAGGAGAAGGUCACCUGGGCUCCUGUGUCUGUUCAGCGUGUUUCAUGUUUAUUGCUCUUGACAGCUUGGAGUCUCCGUCUGCUCUGAAUCUGAUGUUGUAUAAAUUCAACAACGAAAGCUGAUUUAACUCAGCAAGGGAAGAUAACAUGCAGAGUUAUCAUGUGGAGUUCUCCAUCAAAGAGACUAACAGCAUCAUAGGACAUGACAGCAUCCAGACCAAUUGUGCACUUACGUCUUGUAAAGUUGCUGUAAGUAGAAGGAAUUAAUGUGGCAUGUUUCAAUUUGCCUCUUUAAAUAUGGGGCACGUGUCUGUGGAUCCUCUGGUAAUGCCAGAACAGUCACUGGUUCUCAUGCUAAGCGGAAUUUAAAU